GAUGAACGCUGGCGGCGUGCCUAAUACAUGCAAGUCGAGCGAACAGACGAGGAGCUUGCUCCUCUGACGUUAGCGGCGGACGGGUGAGUAACACGUGGAUAACCUACCUAUAAGACUGGGAUAACUUCGGGAAACCGGAGCUAAUACCGGAUAAUAUAUUGAACCGCAUGGUUCAAUAGUGAAAGACGGUUUUGCUGUCACUUAUAGAUGGAUCCGCGCCGCAUUAGCUAGUUGGUAAGGUAACGGCUUACCAAGGCAACGAUGCGUAGCCGACCUGAGAGGGGGAUCGGCCACCCUGGAACUGAGACACGGCCCAGACUCCCAGGGGGGGCCGCAGUAGGGAAUCUUCCGCAAGGGGGGAAAGCCUGACGGAGCAACGCCGGGUGGGUGAUGAAGGUUUUCGGACCGUAAAACCCUUUUAUUGGGGAAGAAAAAAUGUUUAAGUAACUAUGCCCGUCUUGACGGUACCAAACCAGAAAGCCCCGGCUAACUACGU
rnacentral:rRNA from 1 species